rnacentral:rRNA from 1 species
GUCCCGAAAGUAGCGUGAAAUUACCGGGCGUAAAGGGUCCCUGGGCGGUCUGGUAAGUGGAAGGUGAAAACCUACGGCUCAGCCGUAGAAUUGCCUUCCAAUCUGCUGGACUUGAGGCAGGGAGAGGUCGGCGGAAUUCCCGGAGUAGCGGAGAAAUGCGUAGAUAUCGGGAGGAACACCAGUGGCGAAGGCGGCCGACUGGAACUGUCCUGACGUUGAGGGACGAAAACUAGGGGGGCUUAAAGGGGAUUAGAUACCCGGGUAGUCCUACCCGCAACCGUUGAAUGGUCGAUGUAGUAUACGACUGUAGCACCGGCCCAAGCUAAAGCUCUAAG